UCCUACGGGGCGCAGCAGUGAGGAAUAUUGGUCAAUGGUCGGGAGACUGAACCAGCCAAGCCGCGUGAGGGAUGAAGGUACAGAGUAUCGUAAACCUCUUUUGUCAGGGAACAAAGGCGGGGACGUGUCCCCGGAUGAGUGUACCUGAAGAAAAAGCAUCGGCUAACUCCGUGCCAGCAGCCGCGGUAAUACGGAGGAUGCGAGCGUUAUCCGGAUUUAUUGGGUUUAAAGGGAGCGUAGACGGUUACGCAAGUCUGGAGUGAAAGGCGGGGGCCCAACCCCCGGACUGCUUUGGAAACUGUAUA
rnacentral:rRNA from 1 species